CAAAUAUUUUCCGCAGGUCAGAAUGCUUUACCCCCCUCCAUAUUAUGUUCUACAUGUAGCAUGUUUGGUAUUGUGUCCUAGACAUGGUUUUUCACGUUUACUUGUAAGCAAACAGUUAUAGCUUACAGAUUUUGUAGCAUAAUUGAUGUGAUUUCUGGUUUUGCAAUGACUUUCCACACAAUUUUAGUUGUAUUUUCUUAUUUCACAAUUUCAUACUUUUGCUUCAUAAGUAAUAGAUGGCUUAACUCAUAAAUAAGGGGAGGAAACCCCUUCACUUUUUGCCUCUGUUCUCCUUGAUUUUUCUGGAGGGGUCUUUAAUUAUUCACAAAUGCCUGUGCAGUCCAAAGAUCAAGGUUCCUGGGUGAACUUCUAUGGAAACAUUGGGAAAGUUUUUAUAUCCUUGGUAUCCAUAUUCUAUGAUUCUAUUAUAAUGGGUCAAUAUUAUGUAAUAUACCCUGACAACAAGAAAGGGCUUACUUCCAGGUAUUAUUAUGUCGUUUUAUCUGAUUUUUACCUCAUCCUAGUGGUCUAAGACGGCUU